GGGUUCCAAGGCGGACCUGGGGAGCAGAAACCCCUGUUUAGGGUGAACCGUGGCGGGCGCCGAUGGCCUCUUGGAAGAGGACAGACUAGCAGCUGCGAGGGAGAUGGGACUGGGUUUCACCCCUGAAAGGGCCCCUGGAGACAGCGGAGAAACUGACAGGGAGAUCAUGAUGUCGCCAUUUUGAUGGGGUCCCCAGAGGAGAGAUGUCCUCCCCAACGGCUCCUGGACAGGACUGGGGAAAGAGUUCAGGAGGGCUGCUGAACGCCGGAGCCUUACAACUGUUAAACUCAGGCAGAGCUCGGGAAAUGCUGCCCGGAUGGGUGAGUCCUUUUAACACCUCUUGGGUUGAUUUUUCUCACAGGUUUUCGGGGUUUGCAGAGCUCUGAGACUGUGACCACAGGGUGAGACCUCAAGCUGCCCAGUACUGUGGCCCCAUUUCAGAGGCCUUGGGCCUGGGCCAGAGAUGGACGCUGGGGCUGCCUUUUACUCCAAGUUUUUUUCUUCAUUGGUCAUUGGUCAUUGGGCUCCAAGAAGAGCACUUUUUCAGGAAUCAAAGAAGCAGUGAUGGAACGAAAAGCAGAGAAAGCUGAUGAGCCCUGAAUGGAGGUGAAACUUCCAGGAAAUAUCACUUGCCUCUUGAUUAGGGGAAAUCACUUUUGAAUGACCCCGAGUUUUGUGCCCCAAGCAUAGAUUCUGGCAGAAAGAAACAGUCUGGACUGAUGACACACUACAGCAUUUGGUCAUGUGGAAAGAAUGAUCUUCAGGAAAAAUCACACCCUUGGCAAAGGCUUUUUACAGAGGCAAGGGCGAGCCGGCCAAUUCUGACAAUAUUCCAGUGGCAAGGGAGCCAGGCUGACUUAGUCAUCAUUACUUGUGUUUCUUCUCUUCCUCCCACAUCUCCUUGUAUAACUGUCUUUUGGGGAGGGGUGAAGUGAUAGUAAGAAAAACAACAGCACUUUGAAAAAGGGACAGGGGGAGAAACAAGAAGGGGAGAAAGAGUUGGGGAGAGCUCUUGGGUGAUGGGGAGAUAGCACUGGGGAUGUUCUGGAGCCUGACAGAACUGUGUGGUCCCUCCAGCUGGAGAUGCUGGGAAAACAGGAAGGGAUUCGGGAGACGGCAGAGAUGAAGUUGGCUCAUGAAAUGCAGGGCUCCCUUAGCACUUUACCAAUACCAGCUUACAAACACUCCACAGUCAUCAGGAAACCCUUGAUGGAUGCUGCACAGAGAUCGAAGUUCAGGAGCAGCACCAAUAUUCAUCUGGGGCAAUUGGAGUGAGAGCAGCACAGGAUCACAGCCUGAUUUGGCCUCAGAGGCUUUCUUAUCUCUUGCAAGAUCUGGAAGCCAUGCAAAAGGUGUCAUGGGGAGAGGCGCUGAUGUCAGGCAUUUAUGGGACCACUGAGUGGGGGCAAAGAGGCAGGAGAAAAAGCCAGUGAUGAUGGGUUGACAGCUGCAGGUAGACCCAUUUGCAGGUUAUUAGAAACUAGCUUAUUUAUCCAGCUUUUUUUUUUUUUUUUUUUUUUUUUUUUGGAGAUGGAGUCUUGCUCUGUCGCCCAGGCUGGAGUGCAGUGGCAUGAUCUCGGCUCACUGCAACCUCCACCUCCCAGGUUCACGCCAUUCUCCUGCCUCAGCCUCCCGAGUAGCUGGGACUACAGGCAUCUGGCACCACGCCUGGCUAAUUUUUUUGUAUUUUUAGUAGAGAUGGGGUUUCACCGUGUUAGCCAGGAUGGUCUUGAACUCCUGACCUCGUGAUCCACCUGCCUUGGCCUCCCAAAGUGCUGGGAUUUCAGGCGUGAGCCACCGCGCCUGGUCCUCCAGCUCUCUUUUUGUGGUUAUCUUAGACACUAUGAAUCUACUUGAAAACCAAGACGAUUGAUCCUUUAAGUGAGCUGCAGGUGUCCACCUGGGCGUGUUUUCUGCAUCUAAGCCACAGGCAAUUCGGUGUGCAAGUUUAACACCCUGAUAGGCCCUAGCCUUAGCUCUGUUUUAAACUCCCAAAAAGUGUUUUUGUGUUUGUGUCCAUGUGGGGGAGACACCUUAAAAUCCAGCAAUGCUGCGUCCACAGUGCUCUCCUGGGCCCCUUCCAAAGAUGGGAAUAAUAUGGGCAGCUGGUUCCGAUUUUUAUACUUGCAACAGUUACUCUGUGAAAGCGGUGUGCAGCAACAGCCAGGCAAUCCGGACAUACUUAUUAAAUGUGCUGGGCACUGGGCACUGGGCACUGGGCACUGGAAUUCUCCUGGUUGUAGGCAAGCUGGGGGACAGGGAGGUGAGAGCUGGAAUAGUCAUUCUGAAGUGUGAUAUUUAUUGGACCCCAUACUAGGUGACUGAUGGAGAGGGGCUACCACUCUUCCAGCUAAACUCUGCUCUGGUUGGGACCCAGCAAUUAUUUUCCAUAGCGAAGUGUUAAUAAAAUAUCUGUUACUCCCAACACAACCUCCUGGGGGAAGGGACCUGUCUGUCUGCUUCAACUUUGGAUCCUCAGUGCCCACAUCAGGAUACCUGGCCUGAGGUGAGUGCUGUAGAAAUAGUUGUUGAAUGAAUGCAUGAGGGCCUGCUCUGCCUGAGGGCUGGGGACAGAUUGGGUGUUUUCUGUGUCCCCUCCAGAGCAUCCGGUGACCCAGUUUUAGGUCUCAAGGUCACUGCCAAGAAAGAGAAGCUGCUAAAGUGACACGUCUGUGCACCCACAUGACUUAACACAAAAGUUAACAGGAGCUCUUCAAAAACAAGCCUCUCAAGUGUCUGUCUCCUGUUUUCCCUGAGGACAGCAUCAGUGGCAUCAGAUAGGGGUUGGGGCUGGGUGACCUGCUGGUCCUCAGCCAUCACUGUGGCCCAGAGGUCAUUUAAGCAGCUCUCUGCUUAGCAGACAGGCAGAGGGAAUAGAUGGAAGGUACAGGUAAACACUGCACGUGGCCACCGCGAGGACACCCCGGAGCCUGGGAAACAGACAGGGACAUCGUAAAACCAACACAUAAUGGACCAGUGCAGAGACAGGCAGAACCAGUCAGAAGAAAUAGGAUGGUGCCUAGCCCAGGGACAACUGACUUAAGGUAUUUUUGUUUGUUUGUUUUGUUUUUUGAGACAGGGGUCUCUCUCUGUCACCCAGGCUGGAGUGCAGUGGCAUACUCACUGCUCACUGCAGUCUCAACCUCCCAGGCUUAAGCGAUCCUCCCACCUCAGCCUCCUUAGUAGUAGCUGGGACUACAGGUGUGCACCAGCACAUCCAGUUCAUUUUUGUAUUUUUUUGUAGAGGUGGAGUUUCGCCAUGUUGCUCAGGCUGGUCUCGAACUGGGCUCAAGCGAUCUGCCCGCCUCGGCCUCCCAAAGUGUGGGGAUUACAGGCGUGAGCCACCACACCUCGUUGACCUAAGGUAUUAACUAAAGAAAGCAGGUGAUUCUCAGGGGGGCUAUGAAAGCAGCAUGCCUAAGGGACAGGAACGUACCAUGAAGGUGUUGUCUUUCGAGGCUCAGUCCGGGAGAAGCAGGUCUUUUAGACCCAAUGACAACGCUCCCUAGUGUGCAGGUGCGUCUCUCUGAUGACAAAAGGCAGUGUGAUUGUGAUAUUUUAUAUAUAUAGUUUUUGUUAUUGUUGUUUUGGGGACAGGUCUCACUCUGUCACCCAGACUGGAGUGCAGUGGUAAGAAUACGGCUCACUGCAGCCUCAAAAUCCCAGUUUCAAGCAAUCCUCCCACCUCAGCUUCCUGAGUAGCUGUAACUACAGGCAUGCACCACCUGGCUAAUUUUUCAAAUUUUUUUGUAGAGACUGGGUCUCACUAUGUUGCCCCGGCUGGUCUCAAAUUCCUGGGUUUAGGCAAUCCUCCUGCCUCGGCCUCCCUCAGUACUGAGGUUACAGGCGUGAGCCACUGCAUCAAGCCUAUAUUUUGUUUUUUGUUCACGGUUCCUGGCUUAUAACUCCCAUGGCCCUUGUUACAGUAAACACGAUCUCCCUCCCUGACAUUCUUCUACCCUCCUUUCACCUGCCCACAGCAGGACUUUAAUCUGAUUCUGCGUGUAAUCUCAUUGCAGAGAGGGUCCUGCCGGAUACCCUGGAGGAAGGAAUGCUGCACAGAGGCCGAGAGGAAUUUGAACAGACUGGCCUUGCUGGGUUUUUAUCUCUUUUUGUCCAAUCCCAUUUUGACACAGUUGUCCAUGCUCCAAUCAUGCUUAUCCAAUGAAGUUUCCAUAACAGGCCUGAGAGGACAGGGUUCAGGAGCUUCCGGACAGCUGAGCAGGUGGAGGUUCCUGGAGGGUGGUGUGCCAGGGAGGGUGUGGAAGCUCUGCCCCUUCCCCCAUACCUUGUCCUAUGCAUUGCUUUAUCUGCAUCCUUCAUUUUAUUUUAUUUUUUUUGAGACGGAGUCUUGCUCUUGUCGUCCAGGCUGGAAUGCAGUGGUGCGCGAUCUUGGCGCACUGCAACCUCCGCCUCCCGAGUUCAAGAGAUUCUCUUGCCUGAGCCUCCCGAGUAGCUGGGAUUACAGGCACCCGCCACCAUCCCUGGCUAAUUUUUGUAUUUUUAGUAGAGAUGGGGUUUCACCAUGUUGGCCAGGUUAGUCUUGAACUCCUGACCUCAGGUGAUCCACCCACCUCAGCCUCCCAAAGCGCUGAGAUUACAGGCGUGAGCCACAGUGCCUGGCCUGUAUCCUUUAUAAUAUCGUUUAUAAACAACCAAUCAGUAAAUGUGUUACUCUGACUUCUGUGAGCUGCUCUAGCAAAUUAAUCAAAUCCGCAGAAGGGUCAUGGGAACCCCAACUUGAAGCCUGUCCGUCAGAAGUUCCAGAGUCCUGGACUUGUGACUGGUGUCUGAAGUGGGCAAGUCUUGGGGACUGAGCUCCUAGCCUGUGGGAUCUGAUGCUAUCUCCACAUAGAUAGCAAUGGAAUUGAAUUGGCGGGCACCUGGCUGGUGUCUGCUGCAGAGCUCAUUGCUUGCUUAGUGGUGGAGAGAAGUCUCCCUCCACAUGUGGUCACAGCAUCUUCUGUCUGUGUUGAUUGCUUUUGAUGUUGAUUGAGAGAACAGGAAAAAGCACAUUGAAUGUCUCAAUGAUGAAGAUGACAAUAAUCUGGCUUCUAGGUUGUUAUGUGGCAGGCAACAGCUGUGCAGAUCCUAAUAAUCUACUCUGGGUGACAGUUUAACACAGGGGUUGGCAAAUGUGGCCCACUUCCUAUUUUUAUAAAUAAAGUUUUAUUGAAACAUG
rnacentral:lncRNA from 1 species